rnacentral:rRNA from 1 species
CAGGCCUAACACAUGCAAGUCGAACGGGCACCUUCGGGUGUCAGUGGCAGACGGGUGAGUAACACGUGGGAACGUGCCCUUCGGUUCGGAAUAACUCAGGGAAACUUGAGCUAAUACCGGAUACGCCCUUACGGGGAAAGGUUUACUGCCGAAGGAUCGGCCCGCGUCUGAUUAGCUAGUUGGUGGGGUAAUGGCCUACCAAGGCGACGAUCAGUAGCUGGUCUGAGAGGAUGAUCAGCCACACUGGGACUGAGACACGGCCCAGACUCCUACGGGAGGCAGCAGUGGGGAAUAUUGGACAAUGGGCGCAAGCCUGAUCCAGCCAUGCCGCGUGAGUGAUGAAGGCCUUAGGGUUGUAAAGCUCUUUCGACGGGGACGAUAAUGACGGUACCCGUAGAAGAAGCCCCGGCUAACUUCGUGCCAGCAGCCGCGGUAAU